rnacentral:lncRNA from 1 species
UAUAUGUAUAUCAGUAUUCUCUGAAAGGGAUUAUCUAUUUGACAUAGUAUAUGAGGUAAACAUACCUAUACUUUGAUCAAAUAUCUGAACAUCUUUACUACACACAUACACACACAUACACGCGCAUACACAUAUACAUAUAUAUAUAUAUAUAUCUAUAUAUAUAUACAAGGGUAAAGUUUGACAUUUAGUAUUUCCUGUAAGGAAUCGAUUUACAUUCGGAUACUUUUGAUUACAGCACACGGUAAGUCUUCGUAACUAUUUUUGUUUUUAUUACCAACUUUUAUUCUCGUUCGCUUUCUCAUCUUUUUAGUCUCACACUUACAUUUCAUUUCAAUUCAGGAAAUACCUCUUUUAUUUCAAAAUCUCACUUUUAUUUUCAUUCUUACCAUGUCUUUUAUAUUUUCUUAUCUUUUAUUCCACAUUUUCGUUCUUUAUAUCCAUUCUCUUUUCUUUCUCUCUUUUUGGCUACUUUCUGGCUUCUCUUUAUCAACUUUUACUCCUAUUCCCGUAUUUUAUUCCACUUCUAAUCUUUUAUUCCAAUUCUAAUUCUUUAUUCACAUUUACUACCUUUUAUUCCAAAUUGUCAUCUGGUAUUUCACAAGCAGGUUUUAUUCCUUUUCUUAUCAUUUCGUAAGUUCUUCUUGUUUAUAUUUAUCAUUUUUGGAUGACUUUAUCCCCAUACUCAUAUUAUAUUUCUAAAUAUCAUUCUCAAGUUUCUCUCUUCAUUCUUUUUUUUUUUCUUUUAACAAUAAGUUGUAAAAAACGACGAAAUAAAAUUUAGCUGCAUUUUCAUUUUAUUAGUUGAUCUAGAAGUUUAUGGACGUGAAUUGAAGGCUACACCGGUAUGACUAACCUAUGUGUAUAUAUCGCAUGUAUAUCCAUCUAUCUAUCCAUAAAUACAGAGAUACAUAAAUACAUACACACAUACGUACACACAUAUAAACAUACAUACAUGCACACUCACAUACAUAUGUGUAAUUAUGUAGGCAUAUAUAUGCACAUGUGGAGGCGCGUGGUUUAGGGGUAGGGUGUCAGCAUCAUGAUCGUAAGAUGUGGUUUCGAUUCCUGGACCGGGUGACACGUUGUGUUCUUGAGCAAAUCACUUCAUUUCACGUUGCUCCAGUCCAUUCAGCUGGCAAAAAUGGGUAAUGCUGGGAUGGACUGGCGUCCCGUCCAGAUGGGGAUCACAUACGCCAUAGAAACCGGGAAACCGGGCCCAUUAGCCUGCCUAGGCUUUAAAAGAGUGCAUUUAUUUUUUAUACGUAUGCACAUACAUAAAUGCAUACAGAUCGAGUGGUGGAUCUCCGUCGUUUGACGAUAAAGAUUCAGGAGUUCACUUGCAUGCGUAACUAACUUCUGAAUUAACAUGUAAAGUGGUAACGCAUUCAACUGACAUGUGUACCAUUAACAUAAUUCUCAGGUAGAAUCAGUGUAAUACAGUGACAAGGCUGUGCCUUUGGAUAUUUUUUUAACCAUCCACCUGACGGGCUUCUAUACAGUCUUCAUUUAACUAAUUUCAGGAGCAUGUUAUGGGUCUAUCUAAGGUUAGCAAAGCACGUUUAGGGAAGAGCUUACGAGAUGUGCACGAAAUUGGAGUUGCGAAGCAAAGUUUUUAAUUAUUCGAGCGUACUACGCAUAUUGUGUGCAUAAGGGCAGCCAUGGUUGUGUGGUUCAGAAGUUUACAUUGCAACCACAUGGUUUCAGCAUCAGUCACACUGCGCGACACCUAGGAUGUCUUCCACAUUAGGGUCCGGCUGACCAGUGCUUUGAGAGUGAAUUUGGUAGACUGAAACUGUGCGGAAGACCGUCGUGUAAUAUAUACUCUCCCUUUUACUCUUUUAGUUGUUUCAGUCAUUUGACUGCGGCCAUGCUGGAGCACCGCCUUUAAUCGAGCAACUCGACUCCGAGACUUAUUCUUUUGUAAGCCCAGUACUUAUUCUAUCGGUCUCUUUUGCCGAACUGCUAGGUAACGGGGACGUAAACACACCAGCAUCGGUUGUCAAGCAAUGUUGGGGCAAACAAGCAUACACACACAUAUAUAUAUAUAUACAUAUAUACGAGGGGCUUCUUUCAGUUUCCGUCUACCAAAUCCACUCACAAGGCAUUGGUCGGCCCGGGCUAUAGCAGAAGACACUUGCCCAAGGUGCCACGCAGUGGGACUGAACCCGGAACCAUGUGGUUGGUUAUCAAGCUACUUACCACACAGCCACUCCUGCGCCUAUAUAUAUAUAUAUAUAUAUAUAUAUAUGCAUACGUGUGUGUGUGUGUCUGUCUUUGUGUCUUUGUGUCUUUGUUUGUGUCUUUGUUUGCCACCAUCCCCACAUAGCUUGACAAGCGGUAUUGGUUUGUUUACGUCAACGUAAAUUAGAUUGUUUGGCAAAAAUAGAGCGACGGAAUAAAUGACAGUUUUAAAAUCAAUACAGGUGUCAAUCAGUUCAACUUAAACAUUUCACGCCGGUACCCCAGCAUGGUCUCAGUUCAAUGAUUGAAAGAAGUAAAAGUUAAAAAGUAAUGGAUAAAUGAUUCAUACAUUACUCACACACACACACACACGCUCACGAUUUCACGCUUACGCUCACACACAUCGCCGCACACGCACAUCCACCCAAACUUAUAAUUUUGUAUAUCGUCCAGGUAUGUUCUUUUCAAACUUACAAUACUAUUGUGUGAUCGGAAAGGGGAUUUUGGUUGCUAUUUAUUGAAGGCUGAGAAUGCCGUAUACUACAUAUUUGGUUGUACUGUAGUUGUUAUUGAUAUAGUUCUUAAAGUUAUUGCUAUUUCUGUAAAUAGUUUUAAUGCUCUUAUCUUUCUGAACUUAACUCAGCAUUAGUCCAGCCGAACAGAUUUAUAAAAAUAUGUAUUCCAACCAUGACCUCCCUGCCUAAUCUCUAUACAUAACUCUACAUUGCCGAUAAUGUCCUUUCCCUAGUUAAGAAUGUAAUGUGCCAUUUGGAGGAGAUUUAGCAGCUAUUUCUAGUAUAUUGAUCAGCCAUAAAAUCUCUCUAUAGAUGAGUAAUAAAAUACGAGUAGCUGCUAUUGUUAUCUAGCCCCAUGACAACUCUGAACAAGCAAAACGUACAUAUCAUGAAAUGCGUUCCAACAAUGGUUAUCUCCCGUCUGUUCAAAUAUUCUAUGACGGCUAUAAUAUAUCUAUUGUUAGUUUAAGGUGCUAAGCUGACCAGAGAUAAAUUAGACAACAAUUUCUAGCUGGACUCGAAACCACAUAGCCUCUACUUGCUUGGUUUGUAACUCGAGUAUAUAUACCAGGAAGUACUGAAAAGUUCCUGGCUUUAAGGAUAUCGUUAAAAAUCUGGUUUGAAGCUCAACCUUCCGAAUUGUUUUACAGGGCUUAGAAAGAACCUGGAGGAAUAACUACAAUAACUGUGUGAAUCUGAGAGGGGAAUAUCAUGAAUAAAAUCAUUAUUAACUGAUUCUCUUGUAUAUACUUUUACCCAAAACCAGGAACCUUUCAGUACCCCUCGUAUAUACGUAUGAGUAUGUAUCUGUAUGUAUGCGUGAGCGAGUGAUAUGCCGGUAUUGUCCCGGCUAUUUCAAUCUGAGUUCAAGUCACCACGCUGUGGUAUAUACAGGUGGUUGAGCUUAUACGCCUGCAGUUUAAUCACCUAGCAAUUUCGAUACUUUUAAGGAGGCGUCUACUGUGUUGCAAGCAUUCGGUCCGGAUUUCUCAAGUCACAAAACUACGCAGACACUCAGCACUCUCAACCUGGUAGAACUUCAGGAAGUGAGUGCUGAAAGGAGAGAAGCCUAAGGUUGCCACGAAUUUUUGGCUAAUAGGCUAAAGCAAUGUUUUGCUACGAGACACAAAACGUCGCUUGGUCCAGGAAUCGAAACCACGAACUUGUAUUUGUGAGCCAAACACGCUGACGAAUAGACCACGUUGCUUCUGUUAUGAGUUAUGUAUGCAUGUGCAUGUGAUAUAUAUCUAUAUAUACAUACAUAUAUAUAUAUACAUAUAUAUACAUACACAUACACAUACACAUACACACAUAGAUAAAUAGACAGACAGACAGAUAGACAGACAGACAGACAGACAGACAGACAGAUAGAUAGAUAGAUAGAUAGAUAGAUAGAUAGAUAGAUAGAUAGAUAGAUAGAUAGAUAGAUAGAUAGAUAGAUAGAUAGAUAGAUAGAUAGAUAGAUGUGCUAUGUGUGUAUGCGGGAGGUGUAGUGGUAAUAUGGGAGAAUGGCAAAGAGUUUCGCUUCUCAGACACAAAGUACACGAUUCUAUUCCACAGCGGGGUAUCUUCCACAAGUAUAUUUUUCUAAAUCCGUGGGUUCAGCCGUGUUCUGUGAGAGAAACCACGCAGACGGAAACCGUGUAGCACCCCGUCGGCUAAUUAGAACCAGUUUUAUAAAACUGUAAUUUUGAGACCAUGUCACGCUAAUUCUAGCUGACAUUUGCAUUAAGGUAGACAGCCCUGUGAGAAACUCAGCUGCUUGCUCGUUCAUUUAGUGAACCUCGUAGUUUAAUUAAUCUCAUGACCGAAAAAUCAUUAUCGGAAACUUUGAUCCAUAUUUAUUUACCGUUCAUACAGCUAUCCACAUAUACAUAGAUACAUAGAUGAAUACAGUCAUGCAUACGUCCAUAUAUAUAUAUAUAUAUAUAUAUAUAUAUAUAUACACACACAUACAUAUAUGUAGAUAGAUAGAUAGAAAUAUGUAUAUGUAUAUACAUAUAUAUAUAUAUAUAUAUAUAUAUAUAUAUAUAUAUAUAUAUAUAUAUAUAUAUAUAUAUAUAUAUAUAUAUAUAUAUUGAUAGAAAUGGUAAGACAACGAAAGAGUGAAAGAGACCUCAAUAUUAAGUAAAUAGAGGAAUUUAUCUGUAAAUAUAAUAUGUGACAAUUAUUCGGCAGCCCGGAUAACUGAAGAGAUGGCGGCGUGGAUUUCCACCUCGGCAUCCGAAACUCGGAGUUUUAUCAUGGCUACCGAAUAAUUGUCACAUAUUACAUAUAUAUAUAUAUAUAUACAUACAAACA